rnacentral:lncRNA from 1 species
AUGCUGUGCACAGGCCUUGAAAAUGGGAGGGGCCUCUCCUCCAGAGUUAUUGGGAACGGCGGAAGGUUCUGGAAGACGCGUCUAUUAAGGAGGUCACUUCUGCUUGGCAACAAACCGGACCACGAGGCUGGAUCAGUCCCAGCCUCCGCAGCGGACCCGUCCAGAUCUGAGCGUGGGACCCUCACGUGGCGCUCUUGGCCAGCACGUUUCCCGUGGACCUCCUGGCGGGCAUCCUGGCACAGUGGUGUAGCCGUGUCCCCGCAGACGUCACCAUGGAGCUUCGUGAGACGGUGGCCACGUGGCUCUGAGUGUUGGGGGGGUGGUGUCGGCAGUGAGGGCAGGUUACGGGCCCCCGAGAGCCUGGUUCCGUUUGUGAACAGAGUGUGGGCACCAAAGGGGACUUGGAAAGCGGUCCUCACGUGUCUCAGCCCAUCGGGACGUCCGUAGCAAAGGCACCAUGGACAGGGGCUCACACAGACGAGUUCAUUCCCAUCUUCUGGAGGCGGGGAAUCCCAAGACCACGGCGCCACAGUCCCGCCAUCGGGUGAGGCUGCCUCCUAGCCGUGUCCUCCGGAGGUGGAAGGGGACCGAUUGUUUUGGGGGCCACAGAGGGGGACAGCGCGUCAACAU